rnacentral:rRNA from 1 species
AUUGAACGCUGGCGGCAUGCUUUACACAUGCAAGUCGAACGGUAACAGGCCGCAAGGUGCUGACGAGUGGAGAACGGGUGAGUAAUUCAUCGGAACGUGCCCAGCCGUGGGGGAUAACUGCACAAAAGAGCAGCUAAUACCGCAUACGAUCUAUGGAUGAAAGCGGGGGAGAGUAAGGCCUUGCGCCAUUGGAGCGGCCGAUGUUGGAUUAGGUAGUUGGUGGGGUAACGGCUUACCAAGCCAACGAUCAGUAGCUGGUCUGAGAGGACGACCAGCCACACUGGAACUGAGACACGGCCCAGACUCCUACGGGAGGCAGCAGUGGGGAAUUUUGGACAAUGGGGGCAACCCUGAUCCAGCAAUGCCGCGUGCAGGAAGAAGGCCUUCGGGUUGUAAACUGCUUUUGUACGGAACGAAACGGUCUGGGUUAAUACCCUGGGCUAAUGACGGUACCGUAAGAAUAAGCACCGGCUAACUACGUGCCAGCCGCCGCCGUAAAAC